UGGUCUUGGUCGGGCGGUGCGUGGUGAGAGGUAUGAUAGGGAUGAGGUUGAUGGAGAGGAUGUAUGGGUGUGGCAUAUGGACUACUAAAAUGGUGUCGAGUUGGCAAGUUGUUGUGGUUAAAACAAAACGGGUAGAGUGCGGGUCCGUUAUGUGGUUGGAAGAACGAGGGGCUAACGGUAAGGGGUUAGGUAGGAUUCGAAGGGAGUAGUGUCAUUGUUUAAUAGUUAUCAAGAAAGGAAAACAUAAUGAUAUAAAUAAGAGAAAUGAUAAUAAGGAGGGAG
rnacentral:lncRNA from 1 species